AGACCAUGAUAACGGCAAUGUCGAAGCAAAUCCUUGAAUCUCUCCUAAGCUUCAUACAAUGAUUCAGAGUCAAGUUGCAUGAAUGAAGUAAUAUCAUUCCUCAUCUU
rnacentral:snoRNA from 1 species